rnacentral:lncRNA from 1 species
GGGAGAAGUCUGCAGGAGGCAAUUAAAGAAACAUAGAUGGAAAGAGGCCUUCAUUCUAGCUGCAGAUCACAGCACCUGUUCUGAGGCUUUUCACAGAUUCUCCUCUGGAUAGGACUCUUGUGGAGGGAGAAGUGAGAGGCCCUGUUGCUCAUUAAUGGAAACACUGCUGCCUGUGCUCCAUGUGAGAACACCCUAAUAUCAUCCUUCAGGCAGAAGCAGACUGGGGCCUUUUUUACCUGGCUGUACUGUUCCCUCGAUGGUGUGAUUCCCUCUGGCAGAGAGGUGAUGGUGAGUAAUUGCUGAGGGUGGUGAGGAAUUAAUGGCAGUGACUUUUUUUUUUUUUUUUUUUUUUUUUUUUACUAUUUUUCUUUAUUACAGCAAGAUCAAUAGGAAGGAGUCCAUCUGUGGCCUCAAAGUCUCUUGGUUAAAAUGAGAGCAGCUCCCUCUUGAGAAACCAAUGUGCUGCAGGUACAAAACAUAAAUAUCUGG